AUUGACCGCUGGCGGCAGGCCUAACACAUGCAAGUCGAGCGGAGCGGCGGACGGGUGAGUAAUGCCUAGGAAUCUGCCUGGUAGUGGGGGAUAACGUCCGGAAACGGGCGCUAAUACCGCAUACUAUCAGAUGAGACUAGGUCGGAUGAGCUAGAUGGUGGGGUAAAGGACGACCAAGGCGACGAUCCGUAACUGGUCUGAGAGGAUGAUCAGUCACACUGGAACGUAGACACGGUCCGGACACCUCCGGGAGGCAGCAUGGGUGAAUAUUGGACCAUGGGCGCAAGCCUGAUCCAGCCAUGACUCGUGUGUGAAGAAGGUCUUCGGAUUGUAAAGCACUUUAAGUUGGGAGGCGUCCCCAACAGAAUAAGCACCGGCUAACUCCGUGCCAGCAGCCGCGGUAGUUC
rnacentral:rRNA from 1 species